ACGGGAGGCAGCAGUGGGGGAUAUUGCACAAUGGGGGAAACCCUGAUGCAGCGACGCCGCGUGAGUGAAGAAGUAUUUCGGUAUGUAAAGCUCUAUCAGCAGGAAAGAUAAUGACGGUACCUGACUAAGAAGCACCGGCUAAAUACGUGCCAGCAGCCGCGGUAAUACGUAUGGUACAAGCGUUAUCCGGAUUUACUGGGUGUAAAGGGCGCGUAGGCGGGGAUGCAAGUCAGAUGUGAAAUCUAUGGGCUCAACUCAUAAACUGCAUUUGAAACUGUAUCUCUUGAGUGCUGGAGAGGUAGACGGAAUUCCUUGUGUAGCGGUGAAAUGCGUAGAUAUAAGGAAGAACACCGGUGGCGAAAGCGGUCUACUGGACAGUAACUGACGCUGAGGCGCGAGAGCGUGGGGAGCAAACAGGAUUAGAUACCCUGGUA
rnacentral:rRNA from 1 species